rnacentral:lncRNA from 1 species
AUGGUAGGCUCCUCUCCUUUCCUCCUCUCCCUCGCACACUCCCGCACACACACACACACGGACACGUGUACGCGCCCGGGCUCGGGCACACUCGGCCCGGCGCGUCCCCCGCCGCACAAUUACGGUCCUGGAUGCCGCUCCCCGGCCGGGCGUCCCGGGGGCCUCCUCACCUGGCCCUUCUCGCCUUCCUCCUCCCUCGCCUCCCCGAUCCUCCCGCUCGCGGGCCGAGCCCCGAAAACUCCGGCCCGGCCUGGUCCGCCGCCUUGGAGAAGGCUGGAAGGGCCGGCGGGCGGGGAGAGGGGGAGCGCGGGGGAGAGAAAGAAAGUGAACUCAUUGGCGCGCCAGCGCCCUCCCCUCCCGCGUCCCGGGGCCGCGCGGCCGGGGGCGGGCAGGGAAGGAAGUUGUAACACUCGCGCCCCCUCCCCGCCCCCGCCCCGCCGGCGCCCGCUCCCCGCUCCCUCGGCGGGGCCCCCCUCCCCCGCGCCCGGCUCCUUUGAAUUUGGCCCGGCGCGGUGUGCGCGCGGCUCGGGCGGACGCGGCGGCUGCUGCCGGGGAGCGAGCCGGCGGCGCGGGCGAGCCGAGCGCGGUAAGUGCGGCGCCGCCGCCGGCGCGCCCUCCUUCCUUUCUGGGGUCCUAGUGCCGGGCCGCGGCGCCGGGAGCGGGCGAGCGCGAACCGGGACGGCGCGUGGCUGCGACUGGCCCCGGGAGGCGGCGGGCGCGGGGGCAUCUCCCCGGCGCGCGGGCUCUCUCCGCCGUCCGGCCUCCCAGUCCCCGCCCCGCCCUCGCGCCCGCCACCUCCGGCUGCCGGCUCAGGUGGGAACUUCGCCGGCGCCUCUCGCCCGAGGAGCCAGGCGCCGUGCCCCGGUUCUCGGGAGCCCCGGGGCCCCCGAGGAGGGCAGCCUGGAGGCUGGGCGCCCGGUGGGGGCGGGGAGAGGAGCCCGCUUGGUCCUCUUUGGCCCCCACUGUGUGGCGGGGCCCCGCGUCCUCUGCGGGGGCGUCUUGACAGGAUCCUGUGGGGCUUCCAGCGAGCGGAAAGCCCCGGGAUGUCACCGCUUUCCGGGGCAGGCAGGGAAGAGAAGGCUUCUGCAGCGACCAGGGAGCCAAGUUGGAAAGGAGUGA